ensembl:miRNA
AGCCUGCUGCCAAGCCCACGUUCAAAGGCUGUUUCUUCAAAGUUAAUGGUGCCGCCUUUGAGCUGGGAAGGGAAGCGGGCAG